rnacentral:tRNA from 1 species
GGAGGGAUGGCUGAGCGGUUUAAGGCGCUGGUCUUGAAAACCAGAGGGCUCGAAAGGGUCCCGUGAGUUCAAA